rnacentral:lncRNA from 1 species
GCACCUGGUGCAGGUGCGGGCGCAGGAGGAGUUCGGCCACGGCACCUGGAGCGAGUGGAGCCGGGAGGCAUCGGGCACCCCCUGGACAGACCCAGGGGACGUCACCUCCGAAAUGGGACCCUUCAGCUCGCAGUUCCCCAUGGAGGAUGGAACGUACUGGGUGACGCUGCCCCCCGAGCUCUUCGGGCGAGA